ACCCCGUGCCCCACCUUCUCCCAUGGCAGCAGUCGCCGCCCCUCCCCCACCAUCUCAUGCCCCCUGGGCCGCUCACCAUCCCGUAUCCUCAGCGUGCCGGCCUCCACGAUCCCCAGCGCGCCAACCUCCAGUUCUUCACCUACCCCAUCGUGACGCCACCCAAUCUUCUUCCUCCUGGAUUCUCCUAGCCAUGGCGAGUGCCUCCUCCCUGCGCCAAGCUCGCUCUAGACUACGCAGAGCCACCAACUCCCACCGCCUCACGUGCAGUACAACCCCACCCAUGUACGAGGUUCAAAGACCUUGCAGAGAGAAGGAAAUGAUAUGUUAAGGUCAGCAGCUUCCUCGUCGCCAUCCCGGUAUGGUUCAUGUCCUGUGUUCAUCCUCCACUGAUUUUACUAACUAGCGGCAACAUAACCUCCGCCUGCACAUUUUUUUGGAAGUUCUAGAAUUCCUAGAGCUUUAGUCUAACUAUAUUGCUUCUGCGAUUAUUCCUACACAGAAAAACAUACUGAUGAUUGUUUUGUUCCCUGGACCUAAACACAUUUGUUCUUUAAGCUUAAAUGCAUUUAUUCUCUGAACUUAAAUAGGUUGGUUCUCUGAACAUAAGUGUGUGCGUUCUGUGUGUGUUGAAGCAUUAUAUAUUCAGUUGUACUGUUGGAUUAUGGUGACUAUUGAGCUUACUUUUCGGCGCAGGUCGUGGCUUUUCUGUGGCACGCCUCCCACUGCUUCUCCUUGCUGGACUAGUCAACCUACAAGAGAUCAACUCAAACAAAAAGUACUCAAGGUGGACUUAAGCUGAACUGGUGAUGGUCUUAGAAACUGCAUGUUUGAAAGUGGCCAAGGUUCUUGAAAGCUAAAAACUUUGAACCUUGUAAACGACAGCAAGCUUUUUGCCAUUUGUUUCACUUACUAGAGCGCUUUGCUAAUGGGUACGAUAAGUAUAACAUAAGUGAAUGAAAAGAGAGGUCUCGUCCAACUAAUUAGUUUUCUCUGUGUUUUUAGUUCCAUGUACUGUCUGAUCAAUUCUACUGUAGCUCUGAACAGCAGGAGAAAAAUAAAGAAAGUUCAAGUAAAAUCUCAAAUAAAAAUUAUGUUCAAGUUGAAGCCCAGGAGUAUAUACAUAUGGAGCGGACAUGGCAAUCGAUCUUGUUGAUGAUUAUCAAUAAAUAGAUGGUGAAGUUGGCAAACGGCUGAAUCAGAUGGUGCCUACCCCUGUAAGUUCACUUGUCAUUGAGCGGUUAGCUGAAGAUUAAUCAUUUUCGGAAAUUCAAAGGUUUACGGUGCUAAUACCCAUUUCUUUCAGAAAAAUUAUCAGUUACAAGUAUCUGCAUUUUGUCGAAAGUUCUUCGGUAUAGCCCCCUCUCCAUCAAAGUAGAAGAGUACGUGUUGAUUUUCUCUCCCUUGUUCUGAUUGAUAUCAUACAGAAGCUAUUGUAGAUGAAUGAAUAUGGUGCAGUUGUUCCAUUCAUUAUAUGGGCAGCAACCUUGUUUAAAUCCUCCUUUGGCUUGGUUAGAACACGAGUUUCAG
rnacentral:lncRNA from 1 species